AUGCAUCCAGCCCCACAUAGUGCACCCCAGUCUCUGACUCACACAAUCCACGCUCAACCACCAGAAUUGCCGCUUAAUUCUUCAUCCUGGUUAAUGGCACCUAGAGUCUUCUGCUCAAGGAAGAUAAAGUCCCAGCUCCCAGUAUCUGUGGGAGGAAAGGAUUCUGGCUUGGGUAGGAGUCUUGCUUUAAGCUGUAAGGCAGCCGUCAAUCACGUGGUCAAUGUGUACCUGUAGGCCUCCUAGACCUACCUCUCUCUGGGCUACUAUUUCGACCGCGAUGAUGUAGCUCUGGAAAGCGUGAACCACUUCUUCCGCGAAUUGGCCGAGGGGAAGCGCGAGGGCUACGAGCGUCUCCUGAAGAUGCAAAACCAGUGUGACAGUCAUGCUCUCUUUCAGGACAUCAAGAAGCCGGCUCAAGAUGAGUGGGAUAAAACCCUGGACGCCAUGGAAGCCGCCAUGACCCUGGAGAAAAAUCCGAACCAGGCCCUUUUGGAUCUUCAUGCCCUAGGUUCUGCCCGCACGGACCCCCAUCUCUGUGACUUCCUGGAGAGUCACUUCCUAAAUGAGGAAGUGAAAAUCAUCAAGAAGAUGGGUGACCACCUUCUGCAGGCUGGCCGACCCACAGGCUGGGCUGGGCAAGUAUCUCUUUGAAAGUCCCACUCUCAAGCACGACUACUGAGCCCGGCCACUUAGGAAGGGCCUUUGCAAAGUAACAGCGCUUCUGCCUAAUCCUCUCCCUCCAGCCACUAGGCAGCUUUCUAACUACCCUUACAAGCCUUGGACCAAAUAGAAAUAAAGCUAUUUGAAGCAAAAAAAGAAAAAA